ensembl:lncRNA
AGCGAAGACCAGAAACGAUAAAUCAUCCCCAGGUCACACAGGUAGGCGGUAACUCAAUCCUCUAGUGAGGGCACAUUGGGAGCCAGAGCUUCUGAUUCCUUUUCUUGUAGGAAACCACCAAUUGGCACAACAAAUUUUGCAGGUUUGUGCAAAGAGGGAACAGUGAACAGAAUCCCAAGAGAACAGAAGUCACACCCCAAAAUGCCCACAUGUGAGGUGCAACCCUUCUGAAGGGUAGAGAUCUUGUCCUUUUUCAUCCUCGAUCAUUUCAGCUACAUGAAAUGCAUCCAGAUGACACUAGCAGAGCACUGGCUUGAUUUAGAACGGAGCCACACACCUGUUCUUCUAAAUAUAAACAAAUUUGCAACCUGAGCCAUUGGCAGUCACUGCAGGGUAAGGGGGUGAGAGCUGGGGCCGGUGCUCGCCUGCAGGCUGGCUCUGGGCUUACACAAGGCCAAGGCUCUGGGCACAAGGGCCAAGGAUGCAGAAUGCCAGGCAGGAUAUUUGGAAUUGUGAUCUGGUGGUCACAGUGACCUUUUAUCUUGCCGGAGAGAUAAUAAUUAGCUUUAUUAUCCUUAUUGUUAUUUUUAAACGUGCUUAGUUCGCUCUUGUGGCUCAGCUUGUACCCAGCGUGUUGAAUGUUCCAGGUCUUCUUGGUUGAUAUGGAUGAACGUUGCCUGAGUUGCCAUGUUUGAAGAAAGCUUAUUCUAAAGGAAAUGGUUUGCUGAGAUCCAGAACACUAAUUUAAACCAUGGGGUAUUUUUAUUGUCUCUGUGAAGGCAACACUGUUUUGGAUUCUAGAGUUCCUGGCUAUUCAAAGUAUGUGACUACUCCCUCAUACUGUCAUGCCUCUUUCCAUUCUUGCUUAGAGGCCUUGCGAUCAUGCUGGAGUCCUUGGAAAUAUUCCAUAUUAUUCUUAACUGAUGGGAUGCUACAGAGGUCAUAUGGAUGGCACGGGCUCAGUAUGUCCAGGGGCGAGCAGGUGAAGAGAAGAGUUGCUUUCAUUCCCGGGGCCACUGACCCUGACCAGCAGAAGAAUGAAAGGCUGCUUUUGCGCAAUGGAGAAACAUGGAUGGAGCCCAGAGAAAGUAUAAGCCUUCAAAGAGGAAGAUGUUCAGUCCCGGAAACCAAAUAUGCCCCUCCGCUACAAUGGAAGUGAUAUAUCUUCUACACCUUCUUCCAUUUAAGUCUGGCUGCCUCACCUUUGCUCCAGUCCCUCUGUUCCUGUCAUCUCAGGAAUCUCAUACUUGACAUUACCUACUGUCUCCUGAGUCUUCAACUUGUUAUUCUACUUGAGCUUUGUUAUCUCAGCUAAACUUGUCUCUUUCAUAGAAAGAAAGAAAGAAAGAAAGAAAGAAAGAAAGAAGAAAGAAAGAAAGAAAGAAAAGAGAAAAGAAAAGGAAAGAAGAGAAGAGAAGAGAAGAGAAAAGAAAAGAAAAGAAAAGAAAAGAAAAGAAAAGAAAAGAUUUCUCUCUAAAAAAGAAAUCUUCUGUUUUGUAAAUAAUGAUUUCACAUUUUCCUAACGAGCUCAUAUAAGGCUGCAAAACACUUCAGCGUUCAGCCAUGGUG